UACGUAGGGUGCAAGCGUUAAUCGGAAUUACUGGGCGUAAAGCGUGCGCAGGGCGGUGAUGAUAAGACAGGUAGUCGGAAAAUCCCCGGGGCUUAACCUUGGGAACUGCAUUUGUGACUGCAUCGGCUGGAGGUGCGGCAGAGGGGGAUGGAAUUCCGCGUGUAAGCAGUGAAAUGCGUAGAUAUGCGGAGGAACACCGAUGGCGAAGGCAAUCCCCUGGGCCUGCACUGACGCUCAUGCACGAAAGCGUGGGGAGCAAACAGG
rnacentral:rRNA from 1 species